GACGAACGCUGGCGGCGUGCCUAAUACAUGCAAGUAGAACGCUGAAGGAGGAGCUUGCUUCUCUGGAUGAGUUGCGAACGGGUGAGUAACGCGUAGGUAACCUGCCUGGUAGCGGGGGAUAACUAUUGGAAACGAUAGCUAAUGCCGCAUAAGAUUGACUAUUGCAUGAUAGUCAGUUAAAAGGUGCAAUUGCAUCACUACCAGAUGGACCUGCGUUGUAUUAGCUAGUUGGUGGGGUAACGGCUCACCAAGGCGACGAUACAUAGCCGACCUGAGAGGGUGAUCGGCCACACUGGGACUGAGACACGGCCCAGACUCCUACGGGAGGCAGCAGUAGGGAAUCUUCGGCAAUGGACGGAAGUCUGACCGAGCAACGCCGCGUGAGUGAAGAAGGUUUUCGGAUCGUAAAGCUCUGUUGUAAGAGAAGAACGAGUGUGAGAGUGGAAAGUUCACACUGUGACGGUAUCUUACCAGAAAGGGACGGCUAACUACGUG
rnacentral:rRNA from 1 species